GGAGGCGGAGGUUGCAGUGAGCCGAGAUGGCGCCAUUGUACUCCAGCCUGGGCAGCAGGAGCGAAACUCUGUCUCAAAAAAAAAAAAAAAAGAAUGAAAUAAAAUUUAUUUAUUUAUUUAUUUUUGAGAUGGAGUUUCGCUCUUGUUGCCCAGGCUGGAGUGCAGUGGCAUGAUCUCAGCUCAUUGCAACCUCCUCCUCC
rnacentral:pre_miRNA from 2 species